CACACACUUUUCUUAGAUCCACUUCUGGAAUGACCUUUCUGUAUCAAUAUCAAAUUGAUUAGAAGUUAGGGUCAUUCACAACUUUUCCGGUUGUAGAUUGGAAGUGCUUGAGUCGUGGGUGUGUAACAACGAUAUACCUGAUAGCAUGUUGGGGCAUUACCAGAUACU
rnacentral:snoRNA from 1 species